CUCGAAGGACAUGUAACUGUCAUUCUUCCUAUAACAAAAAGGGCCAUAAGUCAGUAAACAAAAUGGCUGCAAGGAGUUUCCAUCAUUUCUAUCGUCACCCUUUUUAGAGAUCUUGACCAAAGCUUAAGAACAUGUAUUUUUCAGUCUGUUAUAAUGUACGCAGUGUUUUGAUUAGUAUGAAGCGCAAACCGUUCUGAUUCCAGAAGGAGAGAUAAAAUCUUAAUAUAAGAGAACCUGAUAGGAGCUUAAUGAUGGAAUAGAAUCUUUCCAUUAUAUAAUGUUUUGUUUGCCAUUUUUUCAUUUGCUAGAAAAUCAUCAGUUUCUAAAAUUCACACACAUUUACAACAUGUUGCUUUUUUUCUUAUAAGAAUAGUUUUCAUAUUGAAAAUGUUUUGUACUUAUAUAUUUCAGGUCUCAGUGCCAUACAAGGUGGGCCAUGUGCCCGGUUCCUGCAGAACCUGAUUCCACAACUCAAUCAAGAAGAACAAAACCGCCAAUUCAAAGCUGGGCUUGAACGAGUGGGGAUAUGGCAACUUCUUCACCAAAAGCCGUCUCUGGCGUAUUUGUUCAAGCCAGCAACUAAACAAUUGUCAGCAACAAGACUUCUUCAGUUGCUGACUCCGGUGUUUUCGGAAAUGGGAUCGAACCGACGCACUGAGGAAGAUCGGGCUUAUGGUUGCUUUGUUCGUUAUGUUAGGAAUGUAGCAGCCGGAAGACGAGACAUCACAUUGGGCGAUAUUCUGGCCUUUAUUACUUGCCUAAAUGAAGAGCCAGUAAUGGGUUUCCUUAAAUUACCCACAAUAAGAUUUACCGAGCUGCCAGGGAACUUGCCAACUGCAUCGACAUGUUCUAGGGAGAUGUGCUUGCCGAUUAAUGUCACGAAUGAAGAAGACAUCUUUUAUAAGUUUGAUUUGGCAUUUACCAAUGCCUACUUUGGAUGUGUGUGAACAACAGUAUAUCACCGGGAACUUUCGUAGGCAGAAAAAGAACCAAAUUAUAGCAUGUAAAACAUCAGUAGGAUAUAGUUUAAUUAGCAGUUCGAACAAUAGCCAGUGAUGCAUCUUGUACUCUCAGCGACAAUGGAAAGAACAAUAUUAAUAGGUUCAUAAUAUUGACAUUUAUAACAAUAGUUACCUGAUUCAUAAAACAUAUAUGUCUAUUGCAUAAGAUAUGACUGUUUAAGGAUAAAAUCAAACAAUAUUCUCUUCAACUUCAGUAUUUUCUUUUACCUUGAAU